CUAACCAGCACUGCUGGACAAUGAUUGAAAGUGGCCUGGGAAGCCCUUUCACAGCUCCCUCAUUACCCUUCAGUGCAUCCCUUCUGGGUGCUUAGAUUUGUAGGUGUCUAAUUGACAUAGCAGGUCACUAAUCAUUUCUUCCUAGAUUCUGGGGACUUCACUCAGCUUCCCAUCACUAAUUUCCAGCUUUGGGAUAUUCACUUCUGUGUCAAGUUGUAUUUCAGCAAAGAGGAGACACAUUUCCAAAGCAUGAUGAGAAUUCAAGUUCAGAAAGAAAGAAGUUUUGGGGCUGAGUGUGCAAAUGCUUAUGUCUUCUGCUGCUCUCCCCAGCCACUACUGAUUUGACCUACUCUCUCUUCAAGCACACAAACUAAGAAGACCAUGGAAGUUCUCUGCAAUCCCACAAAACUUACUCUCCCUGGAUUCAUGAUGUCUUUCAACUUCUUA